GCGAAAGCGAGUCCGAAUAGGGCGUUUCAGUAGCACGCUCAAGACCCGAAGCGGAGUGAUCUAGCCAUGGGCAGGUUGAAGCGGAGGUAAGACUUCGUGGAGGACCGAACCCACCAGGGUUGAAAACCUGGGGGAUGACCUGUGGUUAGGGUGAAAGGCCAAGUCAAACUCCGUGAUAGCUGGUUCUCCCCGAAAUGCAUUUAGGUGCAGCGUCGUGUGUUUCUUGCCGGAGGUAGAGCACUGGAUAGGCGAGUCGGGCCCUACGGGUUACUGACCUUAG
rnacentral:ncRNA from 1 species